UUUCCUUGUCCUGGAAAGGGUGAUUUUAUCCAAUAUCUUCAAAGGGGAGUGAGCCACGUGACUGUAGGGAAGCAGUCCAACCGACUCAUGAGGCGCUCAGCAGAGGGAGAUGAGGCACGUGAUUUCUUGUUGACAUGAAGAGUCUGUCUUUUGUUUUCCCACACUGUUGGAGGAUGGUAGCAAAAACAUUAAUGGAUGUGGAUCAGCAACAUCACUCACAGAUGGGAGAGGAGGAAGAAUAUCCUGCCCUUCACUAUUGAAGUUUAAUACCAACUUGCUGACCAGUCCAUGGCACUCAUAUUCCUGUCAGCAGAUGUGGAUUUUCCAGCAGCAAAUAAGCCACUAAUGUACAAAGUCCUUCUCAGUAUGAUGUAACACUUGACCAACCCAAGCCAAAAAAUGAAGUCAACUCAUGCAAGUUAAAGUAUCACAUCAGGCCAAAGAGCUUUGUCUUUCUGUCAUCCAGCAAGGACUGUGUAUGGGGGACUCUUCUGUGUAUGUGUUACAAACUAUUGUUGGUCACUUUAACAGAGUAAGAAACCAGAAACAUCAUGGAGGUCAAGUACGAAGUGCUGCAAGCCUUCAAAUGCAGAGGUCAAGCAUACAAUGAAAACAAAGCAAAGUUGUAAUGCUAGUUGCAAGCUGCAUAGAUAAUCAAUAUCAGAAUGUGAUUCCUUUUAAUCAAGAGUUAUUUUAGAUGGCAUCAGAGGAAAAACAACAACAACAACAACAAAAAAAAACCACCAAAAACAAAAACAAAAAAACCUGUAAAUUUGCUAGUUGGAAGUUGAAAUCUGUAGCUGGUAGCAGGCUCCCAGGAAAGAAGUAGAUUGCAUGCAGUAAGAGUAAUGUUCAGCAACAAGUUCACAGCAGUUAGCUCACCAGGGAGAUAAAAGUUCAUACUAAGGUAAUUCUUGUGAGUUCUUUUAUAUGCUCAAAGAAGAACAAGGAUAUUGAAGUGCCCUAUCUGGAGGAUUCUCUCCAUGACACAGCAUUCAUGAAUGAUAGCUCCCAACAGCUAUCCUAGGGCUAGCAAGAUGGAAAGGUAACUAUUUCCCAGAACUUGAAUGGUUUUCCCCCCGAAAAAGUAUUUGAGCAACUGUUCUUUUGCAUAAAACUGUCCUCAGCUGAGGUGAGGUGGGUUACUGUUGUAGCAGUAUGUGUGUAUAUACAGUUUUUUUACCUAAGUUUUUUGACAUCUCUGAGUUGCCUCUUGCAGCCUCAGCCCAUCCUUUGCUGCAGGCAGGGUGCUGGGUGAGCCAUUGGGCUGCAGUGUGCAGUCACUCUGUUUUUUCCUGUUCACUGUGGAUGCUGUCGGUUGGCACGUGGAGGCUCUCUGUUGAUGAAUGAGUGCAGUGAAGCAGAUGGGAUGGAAACAGAGAUGUUCUUGACAUUCAAUCAGAUUGUAAUGAGCAGUUUUUUUUGUUGCCAAUGGGCUGAAACAUGCCCAUUUCUUAAAAGCUGUUCUUUUUUUCGCUGAUGCGACCCCAAGUGACAGCUCCCUCUCCUGAGAUUUCCUCCGACUUGAUUUAUGGAGUCUGAAUUCCAGCUGCAUGCUACUUGGGGCACAGACUGUGUGAUGUUCCAUGUGAGGUGCCCAGACAAAACGACAGCUUUAAAAUAUCAUAAAGCAGCCCCAAAAAGACUUGUCAGAGCUGGAGGGGACAGAUCCAUUGCUUGCAGGCAAGGGGAAAUGAAGAAAUGCAGGAGUUUUGUGCUGUAGGAAAAUCUCCAGCUAAACUGUUUUCUCCCAUGUAUGAUUGCCUACUCUGAGCCUAUUCAAGGAGUCUUUGGGAAAAUACCUAAGAGGAUUUUUCCUUUCAGAUUAAGUGAUUUCUGGAUGAUUUUACCCACAGCACAUCAGCAGGGGGUGAAUUUAGCUGCACUUUGCCUGCACCAGUGAAAGAGAGUCUCAUUCUUUUCAAAAUCAUCCACUAAAUUAAGACAUGAACGUACAUUACACUGAACCUAUUUAGCUUAUUAAAGGCUCCUCUCUCAGAUCAUUUCCUUCUGUGUGUGUCUUUACAUCACAGGCUCUUCUGUUUAUAAUUUCCAAAUUUAGGGAAAAAAAAGAUCUUUUAAAGGAGUUACCCUCAGCAUUCAGCAGUCAGAAACUGUAUGUACAGUAGUCAGCCUGAAAUAGAAAGAUGAAAGACCUCGCUGUGCUCAGUUAAUGCAGUAAAGAUCACUCUUUAGCUCAAAUAUAGUAUGAGGUGAGUGCCACAAUUAACAAGGAGUAAGAACCAAAAUGCAAUGUCAAUUUCUGUUUUGUUGUGUUGAAUGAAUUACUAGGAUCUUCAUGCUCUGGAACUUUGGCUAGGAUCCUUCUACUCUCCCGAGGAAAAUAAAAUGUUUGCUAAUGAAUAGAGUGAUGCAAGAAAUCUGCAAAGCAAUACUGAAAGGAUGCUGCACUGAAGGAAAACAAGGAAGCUACAAAAGCUACAGGAAACUCAUUUUUUGAGGACAAAAUGGAAAAACAUUCUACAGGAAUGUUUUCCUUGUUGGCCUGCAAGCCAAUUUGAGUGAUUUGGGUAUGGGAAGCUGUGGGGUGGGCAGGUAACAUGGGCCAUGAGUGCUCUUUUUCUUCACCUGUCUAUAGAUAUCGAGCUUUUCUGCUGUUAUGGGGCUGAGAUUCCCAAAUACUUUCAUUGAGAUUUUGUGCUGCUCAAACCUAUUCUGGUCAGAAAGACAUUGCCACCUCCACUGCAGAGCCCAGAACUCCACUUAAGAUAUCAUGAUAUAAAGUUUAUAAUCUGCAGAUAGUCCAGAAAUUAGGCCCCUUCCAGCAGUUCCCAUUGAUGUGAUGAGAAAGUGUGACUUGUUUUGCAUUCCUUAAGCACCUGCUUUACAUUCGUUGGGUAGAAUUUAAAAAGAGCUCUCCAGGCCUAUAAAUGAUGAUGGGUGUCAAACAGCCUUGCUAGCACCCUGCCUACCUGCAGUGUGAAGUGGAGCCUUCCUAAUCCUGCUCCCAGCUCCUCACCUGCAGCAGCGUGUAUGGAACAGGAGAGCCAGGAGCUGGGCUCCUAUUGCAGCUGCAGAGAAAGGGCUUUGCCCUGGACGUCAUCUGCAGCACUUUGUAUUUAGGGACCUUGCUUUAACUUUUUACUUGUUUUUCCUUUCUUUUUUUCCCCCCCUUUUUUUUUCCCAGCUACACUCCUGUCAAAUCCCAGUUUCCAUAUGAAGGUUUGCACCAAGUUGAGUGAAAGCAAUUAGGUAAUCUGUUUGUAACAAAAUACUUUUCUUUUGCUUUAGUAAACUUAGUGCUUCCCUGU